UUGAUUACGUCCCUGCCCUUUGUACACACCGCCCGUCGCUGCCCGGGACUGAGCCAUUUCGAGAAACUUGGGGACCGACGGCUUAGUGGCGUUCACGCGUCUCUUCUUCGCUGGAAACCAAUUUAAUCGCAGUGGCUUGAACCGGGCAAAAGUCGUAACAAGGUAGCUGUAGGUGAACCUGCUGCUGGAUCAUUA
rnacentral:rRNA from 1 species